GUCGUAGCGGCCGAGUGGUUAAGGCGUCAGACUAAAAGUCUGUUGGGCUCUGCCCGCACAGGUUCGAAUCCUCUCGGCGACG
rnacentral:tRNA from 1 species